GUGGCAACCGGCAACAUCCCUGCCGGCGGCGGCUCUGCUGCCUGGGGCCGGGACUGAGCAGGACAGCGGUGUGGCACAGGACCUCUGCUUGACCCUGCUAGAGAGUGGGGUGCCUAAGAAAGAAACCUGCAAAUUUAAGCCCCUGAAUCUGUAGACCGACUCUUAAGCACAGCGGGAUCUAACCUGUGCUGGCUGAAAUGCCAGGCAACUCGAGUUCAUCUUCAUCAGCCCCGCCUCUUCGGAUGCUGGCUCCGCUGCUCGCAACUGGGGGGGAAGCGCUACAUGCAGGGAGUCUCUCUAGGAGCUGGGCGCCUUCCAGCUUCCAUCUCGUACAUUUUCACAACAAGCGGAAAGGCGAGUGUUAGUAACCGCACUUUCCCUGUAAGAACCGAGAAGGGAAGUGACUUGCCCCCGCAGAGCUGAGACAGGAAGGCAGGUUUUCCGAAUAUCACACGAAGCUGGGCAGGGCCUCCUGUUACUGCUUAGGAACCAAGGGGCCUGAGCCGUGGGAAGCUUUCUUUCAGCAUGGUCCCCCACUUAGAGGUGACUGUCACCCUCCCACUAAAUGGCGAGGAAAUAAAUCCUUGGCAUGCAGCCCCUGAAAGGUUGUCCCAGACGGGGAACACCCGAGGCGGAGUCCAGCCCUUUCCUGCACAGGGAGGUCUUUACAACACGGAUUUUCCAAGGCAAUCGGAUGCCUCUGCAGUCUAAUCUCAAAAGUAUUUUCUUACUGAAAAGAAAUCUGCACUUUUGUCUGGCUCACCCCCAGAACGCAAUCCCAGAGUUUGUAAGUCAAAGCUACAUAUUGACUUGAUUGCAGAUUGCUGUCUCUGAUGCAAAAAGGUUGAUCUUUGUAAAGCUGGUCUUCGAAGAACCAGACUAGCCUGGAUUCGGUGCGUCGCAUAUGUUUUCUGCCUCAGCAGCUGAACCAGAGUCACUGCAGUAAACUGAGUUCAUCGGUUUGGCCAGAUCCUGGACUUGCGGGCACAGGGGAAGAAGAGCGGCCACCUCCCACAGCGGGACCGAGGGACCCGCGUGCCCACCUCCCCCUUUGGGUACCUGACUGGGGCCACCGCUUUGGGGUAAAUCAGUACAGAGAUCAGUGUGGGCCGUAAGGUGGAGAGGGUCCCUUGUUUCAAGGAGCAGAGAACCACGGAAGCCAAAGAGAUGGUUUGCCACCUGUGAGACCCUUGGGCCAGAAAGCCGGUCGGGGCUUGAGGCAGCUGCAGGGAUGGGCAGUUCUCUUUGCUCCCUUGUGUCUGUACCAUCCCAUGCUGUGCUUUCUCUUGCCUUUCUCAAGAUGUGUCUGCUCUAUUUUCCUGUCUUUAUUAACAGGCCGGUUCCUCAAUCCAGAUGCCAGAAAGAGCUAGUCCAGAAGCCUUUGCUUACGGACCUGGUGACAUGGCCUUUUUGGGUAGCGCUCUUGGCCAAAGGCAUCGUCACGAGCCAUUAGCCAGCUCAUGGAUAGGCUGCCUCAGGCCAGGUGCCCGCCUCCGUCCCCUCAGUGGUCACUGAUGCACAGACACCGCCUAAUGUGACUCUCCUGAUCCAGGGGGCUGUGGCCAGGGCAGUUCAUACCAGAAGCAAGCGUUAGGGAACAAGCUGUGGGACUUGUGUGUACCUUGAGUCCAGGGCCGUCACCCAGAACUCAGCUUGGCCAGCGGCCCCCAGAUUUCCUCAUCUGUAAAUAGGGGGAUGGUGACACCUGGUUCAUGGGGUCGUCGUGAGACUUAAACCGACUGAUGGACAAUAUUAUACUAGCGAUAUUAUUAUCAGAAAGGGAUAACCCCAAGCCAUUUUGACCCAUCUGGCUUCUCAGACAGCCUGGCCAUUCAUCUAAAGAGAAAAACAGCGGCAGAAAGCAAGUAACCAGUGCGGACAGCUCGGGGAUGGGCAGCUCCUGCUUUCCUGAGGGAGGAGGGGUCAGGGCAGCCAGGAGUCCUGUGCCCGGGGUCCCACAGGACUGCGGGUGCGUGGACUGUGAGUGUGGGACAGUGUGUGUGUGUGUGUGUGUGUGUGUGUGUGGAAUGAGUGGCAGAUAAGAGACGACCCCUCCUCUUCCUCUGUUCAGAGCCUCUCCUGUCCACCUUUUCACCACGGCCCUCUCUACCUUUCGUUUUCAUUUUCUUGGAGCACAGCUGAUUUACAGCGUCGUGGUAGAUUCGCAUGCACAGCCACGGGAUUCAUGUGUAUAGGAAGAGGUAUGUUCUUUUUCAUAUUCUUUUCCCGCAGAGGUUGUUAUAAGCUAUUGAGUCGAGGUCCCCGGGCUACACAGCAUAUCCUCGUUGCUCAUCUAUUUCCUAUACUGUAGUGUGUGUGUGUGUGCAGCCCGACCUCUUAAUUUAACCUCUCGCCCCUUCCCCGCAGUGGGUAAGCGUUUUCUGUGUCUGUGGGUCUGUUUCUGUUCAUUUGUGUAUAUACGUGUUUUUAGAUUCCACAUAGGUGAUAGCACAUGGUCUUUGUCUUUCUCUCUACGUUUCUUUAAAGAGAAAGAGAAAAGUAGACAGGACAUUUAAAAAGCAAUGCAGAGUUGAGGGAGUUCCUAUCAUGGCUCAGUGGUUAACAAAUCCAACUAGGAACCAUGGGGUUGCGGGUUCCAUCCCUGGCCUGGAUCAGUGGGUUAAAGAUCUGGUGUUGCCGUGAGCUGUGGUGUAGGUCGCAGAUGCGGCUCGGAUCCCGCGUUGCUGUGGCUCUGGCGAAGGCCGGCGGCUACGGCUCCGAUUCGACCCCCAGCCUGGAAACCUCCACAUGCCAUGGGUGCGGCCCUAGAAGAGACAAAAAAAAAAAUAAAAAAAAAAAAAAAA
rnacentral:lncRNA from 1 species